rnacentral:rRNA from 1 species
UACGGAGGAGGCUAGCGUUGUUCGGAAUUACUGGGCGUAAAGCGCACGUAGGCGGCUUUGCAAGUUAGAGGUGAAAGCCCGGGGCUCAACUCCGGAAUUGCCUUUAAAACUGCAUCGCUAGAAUUGUGGAGAGGUAAGUGGAAUUCCGAGUGUAGAGGUGAAAUUCGUAGAUAUUCGGAAGAACACCAGUGGCGAAGGCGACUUACUGGACACAUAUUGACGCUGAGGUGCGAAAGCGUGGGGAGCAAACAGG